AGUGAACGCUGGCGGUAGGCCUAACACAUGCAAGUCGAACGGCAGCACAGUAAGAGCUUGCUCUUACGGGUGGCGAGUGGCGGACGGGUGAGGAAUACAUCGGAAUCUACUUUUUCGUGGGGGAUAACGUAGGGAAACUUACGCUAAUACCGCAUACGACCUACGGGUGAAAGCAGGGGAUCUUCGGACCUUGCGCGAUUGAAUGAGCCGAUGUCGGAUUAGCUAGUUGGCGGGGUAAAGGCCCACCAAGGCGACGAUCCGUAGCUGGUCUGAGAGGAUGAUCAGCCACACGGGAACUGAGACACGGUCCAGACUCCUACGGGAGGCAGCAGUGGGGAAUAUUGGACAAUGGGCGCAAGCCUGAUUCAGCCAUACCGCGUGGGUGAAGAAGGCCUUCGGGCUGUAAAGCCCUUUUGUUGGGAAAGAAAAGCAGCAGGUUAAUACCCCGCUGUUCUGACGGUACCCAAAGAAUAAGCACCGGCUAACUUCGUG
rnacentral:rRNA from 1 species